ensembl:lncRNA
AACACAUUUGGAAAAUGUUGAAAAUUGAUAACACACUAGAUGUUUUUGUGAUUUUUGUGACUUUCCCAUUUAUUGAUUGAUAAAUUAGUUUAUCAUUUGGAUCAUAAUUUCAUUCCUGCUCCUUUAACUUCGUAUUUCCCAGUCUAGGGGUCAAAUUGAAGUUGCAACUGCUGGCCUCUACCACAGCCACAGCAAUGCCAAAUCUAAGCUGUGUGUGCAACCUAUGCCUCAGUUUGCGCCAGUGCCCCACUGAGCGAGGCCAGGGGUGAAACUUUCAUCCUCAUGGAUACUAAUCAGAUUCUUAACCCACUGAGCCACAACAGGAACUCCUUGACAUACAUUUUUAAAUGGCCACAUAGUAUUUUUAUCUUUAAUAAGAAUGUAUUGUGACCUAUUAAACCUUUCCUUUUUUGUUGACCAUUUUGUUGACAAUUUCUGUAUUCUAAAUAAUACUACAGUGAAUAUCCUUUACAUGAGUCAUGAUCUGCAUCUCAUAGUAUUUCUUUGAAAUUAUUGUUGCUCUGAAAGUAAUUUACAAAAUUGAUAAAAACUUAGUUUUUUUGAAGAGCAUUUCCCAUACCACUUUCAACUUGGUGGUUGAAAAUAGUAGCUCCUUAAUUUUUUUUUUUUUUCUGAUAACUAGUGAAGUUGAAAUUUAUUUAAUAUAUAAAUAACUUUCUCAUUUUUGGUGACUUUUCUGUCUGAAGUUAUUUUGCAUAUUUUUCUGUAGUGAAUGUUAAUGUUUUUCUUAUUGUAACAGCUAUUUAUGGAUAUUAGCCUUUUGCUUUAAAUAUUUUUUACAAAUUUUUUAGUUAUAAUUUAAGAAAUUGCUUAUGGUUUUACAUACUUAGAAUUAUGUUACAUUUUUAUGUAGUCAAAUGCAUGGCGUUUUCAUUUGUGAUUUCUUCUAGGACUUCUCUGCAUUAAAAAAUACUACUUAUGGGAGUUCCCGUCGUGGCGCAGUGGUUAACGAAUCCGACUAGGAACCAUGAGGUUGCGGGUUCUGUCCCUGCCCUUGCUCAGUGGGUUAACGAUCCAGCGUUGCCGUGAGCUGUGGUGUAGGUUGCAGGCGCGGCUUGGAUCCCGCGUUGCUGUGGCUCUGGGGUAGGCCAGUUGCUGUGGCUCUGAUUCGACCUCUAGCCUGGGAACCUCCAUAUGCCGCGGGAGCAGCCCAAAAAAAUAGCAAAAAG